rnacentral:lncRNA from 1 species
GCCAAAGACUCUGAGUUUCUGCAAACCCAAAUGUCAAAUGGAUAUUAGCAAGAAGUAACUCUUGGUACUCCCAGGCCAAUGAAAUCAGAGUGUUCAAAACAAAAGACAGCAGAGCUUCAGACCCUAGAGGAGAGGAAGACAGAAGACCCGGAAAGGGGUGGAAUCAGUGAUAGACACCAAGUCACUCAGAUCCAAAACCAAUAAGUCUUUUAUGGCUAAACCAAGGACAUGGGAGGUAUCUCCAGAGGUGCUGAGAAGAGCCACUCUUGAAGGCAGCUAAGGAAGCCCCCAGCGGAAGCAUGAUUCUGGUCUAACGCUUCAUCGUUUUGUGCUUCUAUGCUGGAACCAACUGUAUGCUGACUGAGUACUGAUGAUGAUGGCAAAAGGGUUGGCUGUUCCAUACCAUUAGCAACACUACUACUUGAUUCCCUGGGUGAACUCUUUGAAAUCUGUUCUAACUAAACCACCAUGUACAGAGGAGGAACC